AAAAUAUCUUAUUCAUAUCUAGUUGGCCCACGGAGGCAACAAGAGGCAAGAGAGAAAAACUUAGUGGUGUGGGGGCCCUUUUGCUCAAACUGCCCGAGUUUGUGUGUGAGUGGGUGUAAUUUGAAGCGAAACGAC
ensembl:ncRNA K03A11.7 ncRNA